UUACCGGCUUGAACUUAAUGAAAGGUCUUCGGAGAGAGGUGCUGCAUGGCUGUCGUCAGCUCGUGUCGUGAGAUGUUCGGUUAAGUCCGGCAACGAGCGCAACCCUGUUCUAGUUGCCAUCAUAUGGGACUCUAGAAGACUGCCGGCGAUAACUGGAGGAAGGUGGGGAUGACGUCAAGUCCUCAUGGCCCUUACGCCGGGCUACACACGUGCUACAAUGGGGUACACGGGGCACCGCGAGGGGAGCAAUCCCUAAACCGUCUCAGUUCAGAUUGCAGUCUGCAACUCGACUGCAUGAAGUCGGAAUCGCUAGUAAUCGCGAUCAGCACGCGCGGUGAAUACGUUCCCGGGCCUUGUACACACCGCCCGUCACGCCAUGGGAGUUGGAGACCGAA
rnacentral:rRNA from 1 species